rnacentral:lncRNA from 1 species
UUGACAGCUACAGCCAAUUUUGCUAACUUUGCACAUUUUAACAGUCAUGCAGCGCAGAAUUCUGCAAAUGCAGAGUUUGCAAACUUUGAUGCAUUUGGACAGUCUACUGGUUCGAGUAAUUUUGGAGGUUUCCCCACAGCAAGUCACUCUCCUUUUCAGCCCCAAACUACAGGUGGAAGUGCUAGAUCAGUAAAUGCUAAUUUUGCUCAUUUUGAUAUCUUCCCCAAAUCCUCCAGUGCUGAUUUUGGAUCCUUCAGUACAUCCCAGAGUCAUCAGACAGCAUCAACUGUUAGUAAAGUUUCAACAAACAAAGCUGGUUUACGGACAGCAGACAAAUAUGCGGCACUUGCUAAUUUAGACAAUAUCUUCAGUGCUGGGCAAGGAGGUGAUCGAGGGAGUGGUUUUGGGACCACGUUGGUUUGGCUCCUGUUGGUU